GUGCUUGCUUCGGAAGCACAUAUACUAAAAUUGGAACGAUGCAGAGAUUAGCAUGGCUCCUGUGCAAGGAUGACAUGCAAAUUCAUGAAGCAUUCCAUAUUUUU
rnacentral:snRNA from 1 species